AUGGCCGGCGGCGUUGACCGCCUGUCCGACCUUCCCGACGAGCUCCUCCUGCGCGUCCUCCACUUCGUCCCAGGCAAGCAGGCCGCCGCCACGACCGCGCUCUCGCGGCGAUGGCGCUCGCCCCUCUGGCAGUCCUCAGGCGCCGUAAACCUGGAGACGGACGUCGAGGACUGUGGCUGGGACAAUGACCUCUCCUCCUCCCGGCGCGACGCCUUUGUGGCCGCGGCCGAGGCGGCGCUCGACGCCGCAGACGUCCCCGUCACGAGGCUCACCCUUCGUGUCACCGGCAACGGCAAGUCUAUCGACGUAUUCCUGAACGGCCGCUGGGAUGUGAAGUUGCCUCUGUCGUCGUCGUCGCGGUACCACGGCGCGCUCGCCAAGUUGCUCUCCCACCGUGCGGUGAGCCGCGUCGAGGAGCUCCGGCUCGACGCCGAAGACUCUGAGUCCGACCGCCGCACGUACGGCGCCUGCUGGGAGGCCUGCUCGGACGAUGAGAUCAACCUCAGCUCACUCGGCGUCUACGUGUUCAACCUAGGCUUGGUGCCGUCGGAGAACCUCCGCAUGCUGGACCUCACCAACUGCAGCGACCUUGUUCCGGCGGCCUCUGCGGUCGUGUUCCCGCGCCUUUCGUCGCUGCGGCUGCACCAUGGCACCGUGCGGCUCGACGCCCUCCAGAGCCUCAUCUACGCCGCGCCUGCACUCGCCACCGUCCACUUUGAGUCCGUCAUCAUCUUACCACCAACAGACAGGGAGCCGGACUCUGGUUCGCCGAUCUACCACCAGUGGGACUUCAUUAACACUUCCCUUCUACCGCCGGCAGAAGCCCUGCUCCGGCUCCCAGCGGCCACCGUGCUCGCCCUAGAGAGGUGCAACUGGAAGAACAGCGAUGGCUCGCUGCGACACUACAUAGUGGACAAGGCCGGCAUUGUCCCGGCGGAGAUCGACGCGCCGAGGCUACGUCGCUUCAGCGAGGAGAGGAGGGCUGAGCUCCUGCCUACCUUCUCCAUCCUCCAGCGCCUUGAAUUGCACGGAGUGCACAGGCCCAAAGGUAAGACGGUGGCAGUGGCGAUCGCGAACCAGCUCCGCUGCUGCCCCAUGCUCCACGACCUCCGGAUCAACCUCACCGCGGACCAUCACUACCUACACUACUGGCGCGAGCACGAUGAUGAAAACUGCUUCCUCGAAAGGAAGUUCAGUGCUGACCGUGAAAAGUCCAUCGAUCUUCUAACCCGCCAUCGAAACUCAAAGCCGACGGCGAUGUCACCUGAAGGAAAUGAUGCCGCCAACUACAACGAGGUCUCCGAGAUCCCUGGCCUGAGCCAGCACUCGUUCGACUGCUUAGGGAGCUCUCUGGCGAGAGUGGCCUUGCAGUUUCGGCUUGGGGCGGCGAAUUGUCUUGGUGCCAAGCUGAUAAAAUUCUUUGCCGAGAACGCCAUGGUUCUUGAAGAAAUGUUUAUCGAAGACGGGAACACGAAGUUGUGGGAGCACAUUAGCUACAAGGUUGAGAAAUUGAUUUCUGAUUCAUCCAUAAGGAGGAAGCCUGGAGCGUCAAGCUUUGUUGUGUUGCCCUUACGAGGUGAUUUGACUAUUAAUAGUGAGAAUUAA
rnacentral:rRNA from 1 species